rnacentral:rRNA from 1 species
CCUACGGGAGACAGCAGUGGGGAAUAUUGCACAAUGGGGGAAACCCUGAUGCAGCGACGCCGCGUGAGUGAUGAAGUACUUCGGUAUGUUAAGCUCUUUCAGUAGGGAAGAAAAUGACGGUACCUGAUUAAGAAGCCCCGUCUAACUACGUGCCAGCAGCCGCGGGAAUACGUAGGGGGCAAGCGUUAUCCGGAUUUACUGGGUGUAAAGGGAGCGUAGACGGCAUCACAAGUCUGGAGUGAAAUGCCGGGGCUUAACCCCGGAACUGCAUUGGAAACUGUGCAGCUAGAGUGCAGGAGAGGUAAGUGGAAUUCCUAGUGUAGCGGUGAAAUGCGUAGAUAUUAGGAAGAACACCAGUGGCGAAGGCGGCUUACUGGACUGUAACUGACGUUGAGGCUCGAAAGCGUGGGGAGCAAACAGGAUUAGAUACCCUUGUAGUC